UUAUAACUUCAUAGUAGGCCUUCUUGAGCACAAGUAUAAGUUAAAAUAUAAACAGUUGCAGAAACAACAUUAUAUGAAUGUGAUUAAGUUUUUGACCACAAUGAGCACAAGUGUGCACCGAAUGUGAGGUUGAGGGAGGAGGACGAGGAACUCUUUGAAAUGAAUUAUGUUGAGGCUGGUUCGGAGGGAUAUUGAGGGUAGUGAUCUUGAUACUAGGAGGAGAAUUGUGUGUGAGCUUCUUAAAGGGAUUGUGACCAAUUAUAAGCAACAGGUCACCGAGAUAGUUUCUGCACAGAUUCAGCAUUUGUUAACUUCGUUUGCUGCAAACCCAGUUACAAAUUGGAAGGAUAAGGACUGUGCCAUAUACUUAGUUGUCUCCCUUGCUACUAAGACGGCUGGGGGUAGUUUGGUCUCGACAGAUCUUGUUGAUGUUCAGAGUUUUUUUGCUUCAGUUAUUGUGCCGGAGUUGAAGGGUCAGGAUGUGAAUGGGUUUCCGAUGCUUAAGGCAGGUGCACUGAAAUUCUUUACAAUGUUCAGGAAUCAUUUAUCAAAGGAUGUUAUAGUUCAGAUUUUCCAAGAUUUGGUUCGGUUCCUUGUUGCGGAAUCAAAUUUAGUUCAUUCUUAUGCUGCAAGUUGUAUUGAGAAACUGUUGCUAGUCAAGGAUGAGGGGGGAAGAUCUAGGUAUACUGCAAAUGACGUUGCUCCAUUUUUUGUUGAGCUGAUGACCAACCUAUUUAAUGCCUUCAAAUUUCCAGAGUCCGAGGAGAAUCAAUAUAUAAUGAAGUGUAUCAUGCGGGUUCUUGGGGUAGUAGAAAUACACCUAUUGUGAUGUGUGUUAUUCUUGCAUCAAUCCGUGGGACUGUGAUGGAGCUUGGAAAACACCUAUUGUGACUUCUGGGCUAGUGAUGCAACUCUUGGCUGGGUCCAAGUUCAUUGAAGUGGACAACAAUUUCUGCGAGGAAGAGUCAGGGUUUUGAAUAAGAUACCUCUGAAUCUACUGAAAGACUGCAACGUUCUGCAGAAUAUCUCCCUGCAUGGCAAUCCUAUUUCUACGGAUCAAUUUCAGCAGAUGGAAGGAUUUCAAGAUUUUGAAGCAAGAAGAAAGAAGAAGUUUGACAAGCAAAUUGAUUCAAAUGUGAUGAUUGGGUCAAAAGGCCUCGAUGAGGGUGUUGAUCUAUGAAUGUCUUACAUCAGUGCUCCCUAAAAGAACUAGAGGGCAGGGUUUGAUCAGCUGGGGCCAUUUGAACGCAAAGGGCAGCCAUAAAUUCAAAAACAGCUUUCAUUGUAGCUUGGGAUAGACAAAUUUGGUAUAUACUCUUUUUAGGUCACAUGUGAAAUAAUGUCUCCAAACUCAGUUUUAUCAUAUUUGUAAAUGAGGGCCUGGCUUUGUA